UGUUUUUUGUAUUUUUUUU
rnacentral:sRNA from 1 species